AGCAAUGGAGGCUAUCCAAAGAAUGGUGUUCUUGAUUCUCAAAUCUUGGCUGUUUUUCACAGCUAGAUGACAACUUUGUUUCAAAAGAGGCUGAUGACAGCAAGACAAAAUACAGCUAAAAAACACUAGAGUUUGGGAAAUCAUACACCAAAGCGCAGUGUUAGCUCAAAGAUGAUGCAUAACGAUCUCUAAAUUUUUGCAAAAUCGCUGCCACAGACCAUCUGUUUGGGCCUUCAACCGAGCUUUUGAGUGGUUGGAUGUUAUUGUUCCUGGUUUCACAAACAUUCAGUGGGUGGAGAACUUUAGAAUGUCCAAAGAAACAUGAACCUACCUGUGCAACAAACUGCAUCCAGGAGAGACAGGACACAAACAUCCGUGCGUGUGUACCUCUAAAGAAGAGAGUGGCCAUCGCAUUGUGGAAGCUUGCGACCGGCUCUGAGUACAGAAGAGUUGGUCAUUGUGAUGAACCGAACAGGUUAGCAAGAGGGAAUGCAGACGACUGGUCCGCAGCAGAAGCAAGGACCCCCC